rnacentral:rRNA from 1 species
UACAGAGGUCCCAAGCCAGUUGUUCGGAUUCACUGGGCGUAAAGGGUGCGUAGGCGGUCGGGUAAGUCUGAUGUGAAAUCUCACAGCUUAACUGUGAAACUGCAUUGGAUACUAUUCGGCUAGAGAGUUGGAGGGGGGACUGGAAUUCUUGGUGUAGCAGUGAAAUGCGUAGAUAUCAAGAGGAACACCAGUGGCGAAGGCGAGUCCCUGGACAACUUCUGACGCUGAGGCACGAAAGCGUGGGGAUCAAACAGG